rnacentral:rRNA from 1 species
GAUGAACGCUGGCGGCGUGCCUAAUACAUGCAAGUCGAGCGAACAGACGAGGAGCUUGCUGCUCUGACGUUAGCGGCGGACGGGUGAGUAACACGUGGAUAACCUACCUAUAAGACUGGGAUAACUUCGGGAAACCGGAGCUAAUACCGGAUAAUAUAUUGAACCGCAUGGUUCAAUAGUGAAAGACGGUUUUGCUGUCACUUAUAGAUGGAUCCGCGCCGCAUUAGCUAGUUGGUAAGGUAACGGCUUACCAAGGCAACGAUGCGUAGCCGACCUGAGAGGGUGAUCGGCCACACUGGAACUGAGACACGGUCCAGACUCCUACGGGAGGCAGCAGUAGGGAAUCUUCCGCAAUGGGCGAAAGCUUGACGGAGCAACGCCGCGUGAGUGAUGAAGGUCUUCGGAUCGUAAAACUCUGUUAUUAGGGAAGAACAAAUGUGUAAGUAACUAUGCACGUCUUGACGGUACCUAAUCAGAAAGCCACGGCUAACUACGUG